UACGUAGGGCGCAAGCGUUUAUCCGGAAUUAUUGGGCGUAAAGAGCUCGUAGGCGGUUUGUCGCGUCUGCUGUGAAAACUCGGGGCUUAACUCCGGGCCUGCAGUGGGUACGGGCAGACUAGAGUGCGGUAGGGGAGACUGGAAUUCCUGGUGUAGCGGUGAAAUGCGCAGAUAUCAGGAAGAACACCCGUGGCGAAGGCGGCUCUCUGGUACGUGACUGACGCUGAGACGCGAAAGCGUGGGGAGCAAACAGG
rnacentral:rRNA from 1 species